rnacentral:rRNA from 1 species
GACGAACGCUGGCGGCGUGCUUAACACAUGCAAGUCGAACGGAAAGGCCCUGCUUUUGUGGGGUGCUCGAGUGGCGAACGGGUGAGUAACACGUGAGUAACCUGCCCUUGACUUUGGGAUAACUUCAGGAAACUGGGGCUAAUACCGGAUAGGAGCUCCUGCAGCAUGGUGGGGGUUGGAAAGUUUCGGCGGUUGGGGAUGGACUCGCGGCUUAUCCGCUUGUUGGUGGGGUAGUGGCUUACCAAGGCUUUGACGGGUAGCCGGCCUGAGAGGGUGACCGGCCACAUUGGGACUGAGAUACGGCCCAGACUCCUACGGGAGGCAGCAGUGGGGAAUAUUGCACAAUGGGCGGAAGCCUGAUGCAGCAACGCCGCGUGCGGGAUGACGGCCUUCGGGUUGUAAACCGCUUUCGCCUGUGACGAAGCGUGAGUGACGGUAAUGGGUAAAGAAGCACCGGCUAACUACGUGCCAGCAGCCGCGGUGAUACGUAGGGUGCGAGCGUUGUCCGGAUUUAUUGGGCGUAAAGGGCUCGUAGGUGGUUGAUCGCGUCGGAAGUGUAAUCUUGGGGCUUAACCCUGAGCGUGCUUUCGAUACGGGUUGACUUGAGGAAGGUAGGGGAGAAUGGAAUUCCUGGUGGAGCGGUGGAAUGCGCAGAUAUCAGGAGGAACACCAGUGGCGAAGGCGGUUCUCUGGGCCUUUCCUGACGCUGAGGAGCGAAAGCGUGGGGAGCGAACAGGCUUAGAUACCCUGGUAGUCCACGCUGUAAACGGUGGGUACUAGGUGUGGGGUCCAUUCCACGGGUUCCGUGCCGUAGCUAACGCUUUAAGUACCCCGCCUGGGGAGUACGGCCGCAAGGCUAAAACUCAAAGGAAUUGACGGGGCCCCGCACAAGCGGCGGAGCAUGCGGAUUAAUUCGAUGCAACGCGUAGAACCUUACCUGGGUUUGACAUGGAUCGGGAGCGCUCAGAGAUGGGUGUGCCUCUUUUGGGGUCGGUUCACAGGUGGUGCAUGGCUGUCGUCAGCUCGUGUCGUGAGAUGUUGGGUUAAGUCCCGCAACGAGCGCAACCCUUGUUCACUGUUGCCAGCACGUUAUGGUGGGGACUCAGUGGAGACCGCCGGGGUCAACUCGGAGGAAGGUGGGGAUGACGUCAAGUCAUCAUGCCCCUUAUGUCCAGGGCUUCACGCAUGCUACAAUGGCUGGUACAGAGAGUGGCGAGCCUGUGAGGGUGAGCGAAUCUCGGAAAGCCGGUCUCAGUUCGGAUUGGGGUCUGCAACUCGACCUCAUGAAGUCGGAGUCGCUAGUAAUCGCAGAUCAGCAACGCUGCGGUGAAUACGUUCCCGGGGCU